rnacentral:rRNA from 1 species
UGCUAGUUGUGCGGGUUUAGACCCGCAGCGGAAAGCUCAGUAACACGUGGCCAAACUACCCUGUGGAUGGGAAUAAUCUCGGGAAACUGAGGCUAAUUCCCAAUAAUGCUCGACCCCUGGAAUGGGUUGAGCUGGAAACGCUACGGCGCUAAUCAGACCUAGUCUCAUUGCGCCACGAGACGCUCUGCGUCUCGUUCGCGCCACAGGAUGUGGCUGCGGCCGAUUAGGUAGACGGUGGGGUAACGGCCCACCGUGCCCAUAAUCGGUACGGGUUGUGAGAGCAAGAGCCCGGAGACGGUAUCUGAGACAAGAUACCGGGCCCUACGGGGCGCAGCAGGCGCGAAACCUUUACACUGUACGCAAGUGCGAUAAGGGGACUCCGAGUGUGAAGGCAUAGAGCCUUCACUUUUGUACACCGUAAGGUGGUGUACGAAUAAGGGCUGGGCAAGACCGGUGCCAGCCGCCGCGGUAAUACCGGCAGCCCGAGUGAUGGCCGAUCUUAUUGGGCCUAAAGCGUCCGUAGCUGGCCGCGCAAGUCUAUCGGAAAAUCCACCCGCUCAACGGGUGGGCGUCCGGUAGAAACUGUGUGGCUUGGGACCGGAAGGCGCGACGGGUGCGUCCGGGGUAGGAGUGAAAUCCCGUAAUCCUGGACGGACCGCCGAUGGCGAAAGCACGUCGCGAAGACGGAUCCGACAGUGAGGGACGAAAGCUAGGGUCUCGAACCGGAUUAGAUACCCGGGUAGUCCUAG